rnacentral:rRNA from 1 species
ACUCGAGUGGCGAACGGGUGAGUAACACGUGGGUGAUCUGCCCUGCACUUCGGGAUAAGCUUGGGAAACUGGGUCUAAUACCGGAUAGGAGCCAUCUUUAGUGUGGUGGUUGGAAAGUUUUUCGGUGUAGGAUGAGCUCGCGGCCUAUCAGCUUGUUGGUGGGGUAAUGGCCUACCAAGGCGGCGACGGGUAGCCGGCCUGAGAGGGUGAUCGGCCACAUUGGGACCGAGAUACGGCCCAG